AACGAACGCUGGCGGCAUGCCUAACACAUGCAAGUCGAACGAGACCUUCGGGUCUAGUGGCGCACGGGUGCGUAACGCGUGGGAACCUGCCUUUAGGUUCGGAAUAACUCAGAGAAAUUUGAGCUAAUACCGGAUAAUGUCUUCGGACCAAAGAUUUAUCGCCUUUAGAUGGGCCCGCGUUGGAUUAGCUAGUUGGUGGGGUAAAGGCCUACCAAGGCGACGAUCCAUAGCUGGUCUGAGAGGAUGAUCAGCCACACUGGGACUGAGACACGGCCCAGACUCCUACGGGAGGCAGCAGUGGGGAAUAUUGGACAAUGGGCGAAAGCCUGAUCCAGCAAUGCCGCGUGUGUGAAGAAGGUCUUCGGGUUGUAAAGCACUUUCAGCGAGGAGGAAGGGUUGUGUGUUAAUAGCACAUAGCCUUGACGUUACUCGCAGAAGAAGCACCGGCUAACUCUGUGCCAGCAGCCGCGGUAAAG
rnacentral:rRNA from 1 species